CUGGAAAGGUACAAAUCCCUUUGGCACCUGCUUGGCAUCAGCAGUGGUGCUAUUAGCAUGUCCUUGUCUUGGUCUGGAAGCAAUGCACCAUGAGCUCUUUCUGGGGUAUUGAUAAAACAAUUACCUGUCUUGGAGUUUGCCCCUUUCUUGUGGGAAUCCAAAUGAGGCAGUGUCCUGGUGAAAGGCAUCCUCAGAUGGGCAAUGAGAUUGCCUGAGCUCCCCAGACUCCUUUGGCCUGAUGCACUUGUUUCUAGGAUUACCUAACCAAUCUUCUGGCAAAGUUUAGCAAUAAGAGAAAGUUAUUUCCUAAUUCUGGGUGCGCAGGUGCACCUGCAGGUGUGGUCUCAGCUAAUAAUGCUGAGAAGGGAUACUAGGAGCCCUGACUUAAGAAGUCUGUAUAAUCCUUGUUUAAGGAGACAGUUACCUUGGCAGAGGUGGUGAAGCUGCUCCCUCUGAAGGGCAUUUUGUCUUCCUGGAUGUUGAUCUGCCUUAAGUGCAAAGGUAAAACAAAGCAAACAACAAAAGGCACCAAGCCAAAAAUCCUUCUGCUGGGAAGUGUCUUUCAAGAUGCUUAGGAACAGAAUCUGGCAGGAGACUAUUUUAUGUACGCUGGAUGAGCUGCAAAGAUGGAAUGGCAAACAGAUGCAGCAGUCUGCAUGUGGAGCCCAUCUGAUUUUUGGGGGACUAUUGCAUUUAAUCCCAGGAUUAAACUGUCUGAAGCUAGCAGAGCAGGAGCUGUGGGUCACAGACACCAGUAAGGAUGAGGAGGGUCCUCAGACGGAUGAGGAGAGAUGCCUGCCUUGCCAAGCAGAGCUGCUGUUAUGAAAUGGCCCCUGACCAUGGAUAGCUGCAAUGAACAGAGCUGGGGGCUGCACGAAUGCAUGGCAUGGGACUCACUUUGCCAGAUGGGUGGUUCAGGACUGAGAAGUAACCAAUUGGAAACCUGCCCAUCUCCUGGGGUUGGAGCUGACCCCUUCAUGGGUGGCCUGGAGGAAGAGGCUGAGAUGGGGAGGGAGCAAGUGUCCAUGGCACCUUCUCUGCAGCAGCUACUGCUGGAGGCAGUUGGAAACCCCAGCUCAGAGCUGGCCCCCUGCUGUGUCCCAGCCUGCCGAUGCGGGCUGUCACUGCUGCAGCCCCACGUGAAUCAGAACCCACAUGAAUCAGAACCCAGACCCCAGGUGGAGUUCUGCAGCACUUAGGGCUGGCUGCAUGGCAGGGGAUGAGAGCAAAGGCAAGUAGAUGUUGUGGGGCACAGAGCCACUCCACAGGUCACCUCCCUGAGCAAGCAUGUCCCUUCGCAGUGGUCCUGGCUCCCCUUGUAAAUGCCCCUGAUGUGUAGCCAGUCUGUUCCAGAAUAAUCUUUCUUCAGUUUCCCACCAUUGGCAUAGAAGUAAUAAGCUGGCUUGGUGUGUUAAGGCAAAAAAG
rnacentral:lncRNA from 1 species